GACGAACGCUGGCGGCGUGCUUAACACAUGCAAGUCGAACGGUGAAGCCUUUCGGGGUGGAUCAGUGGCGAACGGGUGAGUAACACGUGGGCAACCUGCCCCUGACUUCGGGAUAAGCCCGGGAAACCGGGUCUAAUACCGGAUAUGAUCACGUCCCGCAUGGGGUGUGGUGGAAAGUUUUUCGGUCAGGGAUGGGCUCGCGGCCUAUCAGCUUGUUGGUGGGGUGAUGGCCUACCAAGGCGACGACGGGUAGCCGGCCUGAGAGGGCGACCGGCCACACUGGGACUGAGACACGGCCCAGACUCCUACGGGAGGCAGCAGUGGGGAAUAUUGCGCAAUGGGCGAAAGCCUGACGCAGCGACGCCGCGUGAGGGAUGAAGGCCUU
rnacentral:rRNA from 1 species